UACGUAUGGAGCAAGCGUUAUCCGGAUUUACUGGGUGUAAAGGGAGCGUAGGCGGCUCUGUAAGUCUGAUGUGAAAAUUUGGGGCUCAACCCCAAACGUGCAUUGGAAACUGCAGGGCUUGAGUGCCGGAGAGGCAGGCGGAAUUCCUAGUGCAGCGGUGAAAUGCGUAGAUAUUAGGAGGAACACCAGUGGCGAAGGCGGCCUGCUGGACGGUAACUGACGCUGAGGCUCGAAAGCGUGGGGAGCAAACAGG
rnacentral:rRNA from 1 species